rnacentral:rRNA from 1 species
CCUACGGGAGGCAGCAGUGGGGAAUAUUGCGCAAUGGGCGAAAGCCUGAACCAGCCAAGCCGCGUGAGGGAAGAAGGUACAGCGUAUCGUAAACCUCUUUUGUCAGGGAACAAAAGCGGGGACUAGUCCCCGGAUGAGGGUACCUGAAGAAAAAGCAUCGGCUAACUCCGUGCCAACAGCCGCGGUAAUACGGGGGGUACGAGGGUUAUCCGGAUUUAUUGGGUUUAAAGGGGGCGUAGGCUGGGUGGUAAGUCAGCGGUGAAAUGCCCCCGCUCCACGGGGUGAAGGGCCAUUGAUACUGGCAGGCUGGAGUGCGGAAGAGGUGGGAGGAAUGUGUGGUGUAGCGGUGAAAUGCGUAGAUAUCACGAAGAACACCGAUUGCGAAGGCAGCUCAC